rnacentral:lncRNA from 1 species
UUUCUUCUCUAGUGGAUUCAUUCAAGCUUUCGGUGUUAUCAUAUCCUUUUUCAUCCUUUCAUGAUUCAUGUGUUGGAAUUCUUAUUCAAGUCUCUCUUGUUUGUUCAUCCAUCUUUGUUCUAUCUGGAGUGUUGAAUAUAUCUCAGAAGUUCUUUCUUUCUAUCAUUCCAAGUAUUUUGAGGGUCCCUCAUCAUCAAGUUUUCAUUUGUACCAGUGCAAUCUCUCUUCCUAAGCAAUCUUUUCAACGGUGGUUUCUUUGAGUGGGCCCAUAACCCACAAUUUCUUUCCGAGGGUCUUUCCUAGCUCUUAUAAUCUUUUUCGGAGAUCUUUAAUUCUUUUCAGUUAUGAUGUAAGAAUGAUUUUCAUCAGUCAUAUUCCUUCUUCAAGAUCAAUUUAAAAUAUUUUCAUCAUUGGCUCAACCAUUCGUUCUUCUUAUUUCGGAGUGUAUUAGUUAUUUUGGUGGUGUCCCUUCUCUUCAUUCUCAGCUUCGAAGACAGAAGAAGUGUUUUUUCUUAAAUCUUGUCUAUUCUUUUGAAGAUUGUCAUCUCAGCUUUGUGUUAUCCUCUCAUUUGUUUUCGAUCAUGAGAAUUCCCUCGAUAUCUAUCCUGUGCAUUUCAGGGUUGUUUCAUUUCUUGAUCCUCUGAAGGCUAUCAUUUCAGAAGAUUUUCUUUCAUUCUCAGCGUUCAGCUUUCAUUCCCAAAUUCUUCUCAAUUGGUGUACAUUCGUUCGUAUCUCAAUUAUUCCGGUGCUUCAUUCAACUUUUCUUUAGGUGGAUCAUAAACUCUUCAUUCUUGUGUAUCUUGAUUCAUUCUUGAUGUCCUCCUUCAUUUCAAAUUCUUAUCGGUGGCAUGUUCAAGCAUUCUCUAAUCGAAUCAUGCCCUCUUUAUCCUCAUGUAGCCUAGUUCAUUUUAGUACCCUCUUCAUUCCAAAUUCUUAGCGGUGCUUCGUUGAAUGAUUUUUCAAGUUUGUGGUCUAUCUAUCCCUCUUCAAUCUUUUCAAGAAGAAUAAGUGGUAUGCUAAAUCUGUUCAUUGUCAUCAAUUUAAUUUGAUGAAGGAUGAGCAUAACAUAAUUCUUAUUUUGUUCUUCUUUCUUCGAAAUGAUUUCAAUUGUUCUAUCGGAGUGGCUCAUGAUAUCAGUUCUUUUCUCAAGGUGCUCUUCAAGAUUCUAGUCGAAGGUUCUCACGUAUUAUUUGUCUUGCACUUCAAGUGCAAUUCUCGCUCCUUUAUCCUUUGAGGUGGUAUUAUAACAUUCUUGUUAGUGGUGAGUCUCGAAGAGAAUGAUUUCAAGAAUGAGAUAUUUAAACCCACCAACUCUAUGAUCAUGAGAUAUUUGCAACCCGUGAUUUCUUCAUUGAUGCUAUAUUGGUUUAGAUUUCACCUAAAGCUUUUCCUAAGGAAUGUUGCUAUUAUGGAGAUGAUCGUGGAUCCAAGUUCUUAAUGUAGCCUCUUGGUGUAAGAAUUUGUGCUCAUAUAGUUUCUCCCAAUCAAUCCUUCUUUCUGUUAGUGGAUGGUUUUCAACUCAUUAAUUGAGAUGGUUUCUAUAAGUCCACUACAAGCUUGUUCUUUUCGUUGUUGGUUUUUCCAACAACUCCGUUCUUUUCGUCUUGUUAGGAUGUUGUUCAAUUCAGUUGUGAUAGUAGUUGUCGUUCUCUUCUUCAUCAUUUCUUACCAUUAUCUAGUUUAUAUUCUAUUGUAAUCGGAGUGGUGUGUUGCAUUUCUUAUUCUUUCCGUCUAUCAAAUUUUGUCCUAUUUUCCUACCGAAGUGCUGCCGAAAUUUUGUUUGAAUUCUUGCUUGUUCCUCAUGUCAUUCUUCAUCUCUUUGUAGCCUUCAAGGAUCUUCGUUUCACUCGUUUUUCAUAGAAGCAAGUAAAUUUUACCUUCUGCUCUUCUCUUCCUCUUCCCCCCUUCAUUCUUAGAUCUCGGGGCGAGAUCUCUUGUUAGUGUAGGAGAGUUUGGACAGCCCGCGGCCGACGCUCCAGAAGAUUCCCCUUUUAGUCCAUUCUCGUCGUGUGAUUCGUUUGGUUGUCGCAUUCAUCAUCGCAUCAUUCACAUCAUCCACAUUGCAUUGGCACUCCGUUGUCACCAGUUUCAAAAACAUGCAUCCAUUAUUAGUUGCCGGUUGUCUCUGCUUCGUCGUUGUCUGUUAUGAGUCCAACCACACUCGCACACGCUCGCGACAUCAUUAUUAUAUUUGUUUUUAAAGAGUGUAUAAAACAUUCUUGGAUUGGGUUGAAACUUGGUGGGCUGUCUUAUUUUAAUAUAGAGAGGCCGCCUGCCAAUUUUCGUUGCAAUCGGAGUCCGUAUGAUACCCGAACAGUCGACCAUAGCGGCACCGUCGUCGGAUUAUUGUCGGACAUUUUUGGGGGUUUAAAUUAUCGUUGCCGGACUGCCAAACUUCCCUAUCAUCCCCUCCUAACCAACUGUACACAGCCCACCUAGCCUAAGCUCGCAUUCGAGGCCAUCCGAUCACGAU